rnacentral:rRNA from 1 species
GACGAACGCUGGCGGCAGGCUUAACACAUGCAAGUCGAACGGGCACUUCGGUGUCAGUGGCAGACGGGUGAGUAACGCGUGGGAACAUACCUCUUGGUUCGGAACAACACAGGGAAACUUGUGCUAAUACCGGAUAAGCCCUUACGGGGAAAGAUUUAUCGCCGAGAGAUUGGCCCGCGUCUGAUUAGCUAGUUGGUGUGGUAAAAGCGCACCAAGGCGACGAUCAGUAGCUGGUCNGA